rnacentral:rRNA from 1 species
AAUUUUGGACAAUGGGCGCAAGCCUGACCCAGCAACGCCGCGUGAGGGAAGAAGGUCUUCGGAUUGUAAACCUCUGUCCUAUGGGACGAAAAAAAUGACGGUACCAUAGGAGGAAGCUCCGGCUAACUACGUGCCAGCAGCCGCGGUAAUACGUAGGGAGCGAGCGUUGUCCGGAAUUACUGGGCGUAAAGGGUGCGUAGGUGGCCUAGCAAGUCAGAUGUGAAAUCCCCGGGCUUAACUCGGGGGGUGCAUUUGAAACUGCCUGGCUUGAGUGCAGGAGAGGAAAGCGGAAUUCCUAGUGUAGCGGUGAAAUGCGUAGAUAUUAGGAGGAACACCAGUGGCGAAGGCGGCUUUCUGGACUGUAACUGACACUGAGGCACGAAAGCGUGGGGAGCAAACAGG